rnacentral:lncRNA from 1 species
UGAUUUUGUUGGACGAAUCAGUAAUGUCAAUCCUUCAUUGUUAACAGAAUGACUUAAGUUAUUUGCUUUCCAGUUUAUUUCGUCAUCCUCAAUUCAAUCCCAGCUACGGCGAAUAUUAAAGGAUUCAGUAAGAUGGCAAAACAAAACGAUCAACAAAGUUCACCGGAAACUAAUCUAAUACAUAAAGAGAAAUUGAACAUCAAGAAUCAAUCAAACAAUUAAGGAUCCGUUGCUGGUUGUUACAGCUACAGAGAGCCUAAAAACCAGGACAAAAAUCCCAAAAGAGAACCAAUUUUUAAAAAAAGUUCAAUUUAUGAACAAAAAUUGAAAAAAAAAUUAGAAAAGAAAUAAUAUACCUGUUAUUGAUGCUUAAUUCAGUGAAUACCUUGAAGAAAGCUUCAAACGUUUUGCAAUCUGAUAUACAAGAAAUAGCAAAACAACAAGGAAAUAAUGUAUUUAAAACAGGAACUAAAAAAUAAAUAGAAAAUGAAGCAUAGAAAAUAGCAAUUAAAUGACACAAAUAUGAACUGAAUUAGGCUCUCCAAUUUUGACCGUAUUGUUUCAUCAUGUGAAAUAGAAUUUCAACAACCUCGAUCUCAACAUUAUGCUGAAUCACUAAUCGGAAAUUUGUGAGAUAUGCUACAAGUAGUAAUAAACUCUCCAUUAGCAAUGAGCUGUGUAUAUUGAUGAAAAUUAAAAAGUAGAAAUGAGAGAAACAAAACCAUGUAAAUAUCUUUAGGGCCACCUCUGUAAGCACAAGGAGAACACAUCGCUGGUAAACAAAACCAUGUAAACAAAAGUCGCCGGUGAGUUUCUUAAAACCAACCCAUGCAAUCUCUACUUUCGCCGAACAUCAAAUUCUCUUCCAUUCAACUUGCUGGAUAAAACCAAAAAGUAGAUAAAUGGAGGCUUGUUGGAUGAAACCAAUAAAGAAAAUAGGUCAUAGUACAAAUAUAUAUGUCUAUAUUCUAUUAGGCACCAAAAACUUAUGAUUCACAGAAGGUACCGCAAAACUUAAAACCACACAAUGGAUGUGUAAAAUUAAAAGGAAGUUGAUAAUUAAUUGUAUAUAACAAACAAAGCAUAAUUAAUUGUUAAAUGCCAAAUCACCAAGGAACCAAGAAAUUGAAGACAAAAAUAGAACACACCCACAUGCAGCGAAUAAAACAAAAGCAGAGGCAAGCAAUAUAAUUAAUACGAAGGAAAAUGAAAUUAGUUGACCUGGGUGCUACAUAGAGGUUGUCGUUCGUGUAGGCGGCGGCGUUUAUGCUCGCCGACGCUGGAAGCGGCGAGGCCCUCUCGAUUGCCUUUGGUGGUCGGCUAUAGCUUUUGAGAGAGGAGGCGCCGGAGAUAGAGGUGAAAGAUGUUCUCCCGGUUAGAGAAUUGAAAAAGAAAGAAAAGCGAAAAGAAAUUAAGGAACGAAAAUUCUGAUUUCCGCCGAAUCCGAUCCGAAAUAUUCCGAUUUUGGAACGACUUUUUCAAUUCCAAAUUCCGAAAUUCCGAUUUCCAAAAAUUCCGAAAAAAAUCGGAUCGGAAUCGGAAAUACAUAACAGAAUUUCGGAAUUUCCGAUUUCCGAUCCGAAAUUAUUCCGAUUUUUCCAAUUAUAAUAUUAUUAAUAUUUCUUACUAUAUAUAAUAUAUGUAUAUAUCUAUCCGCC